AUUGAACGCUGGCGGCAUGCUUCACACAUGCAAGUCGAACGGUAACAGGGUGCUUGCACCGCUGACGAGUGGCGAACGGGUGAGUAAUGCGUCGGAACGUGCCGAGUAGUGGGGGAUAACGCAGCGAAAGUUGUGCUAAUACCGCAUACGUACUGAGGUAGAAAGUGGGGGACCUUCGGGCCUCACGCUAUUCGAGCGGCCGACGUCUGAUUAGCUAGUAGGUGAGGUAAAGGCUCACCUAGGCGACGAUCAGUAGCGGGUCUGAGAGGAUGAUCCGCCACACUGGGACUGAGACACGGCCCAGACUCCUACGGGAGGCAGCAGUGGGGAAUUUUGGACAAUGGGCGAAAGCCUGGUCCAGCCAUGCCGCGUGUCUGAAGAAGGCCUUCGGGUUGUAAAGGACUUUUGUCGGGGAGGAAAUCCCCAGCGUUAAUACCGCUGGGGGAUGACAGUACCUGAAGAAUAAGCACCGGCUAACUACGUGCCAGCCGCCGCGGUAA
rnacentral:rRNA from 1 species